ACGCUUGACACCUACGUGAGGCAGCAGUGGGGAAUAUUGGGCAAUGGGGGCAACCCUGACCCAGCAACGCCGCGUGAAGGAAGAAGGCUUUCGGGUUGUAAACUUCUUUGACAAGGGACGAAAUAAAUGACGGUACCUUGAAAACAAGCCACGGCUAACUACGUUCACACAGCCGCGGUAAUCUGAGCGGGCUGGCAAGGC
rnacentral:rRNA from 1 species